rnacentral:rRNA from 1 species
CAGUAGGGAGGAAGGUAGUGUAGUUAACACCUGCAUUAUUUGACGUUACCUACAGAAGAAGCACCGGCUAACUCCGUGCCAGCAGCCGCGGUAAUACGGGAGGGUGCGAGCGUUAAUCGGAAUUACUGGGCGUAAAGCGCAUGCAGGCGGCCUGUUAAGUCAGAUGUGAAAGCCCGGGGCUUAACCUCGGAAUUGCAUUUGUAAACUGGCAGGCUAGAGUCUUGUAGAGGGGGGUAGGAAUUUCAGGUGUAGCGGUGAAAUGCGUAGAGAUCUGAAGGAAUACCAGUGGCGAAGGCGGCCCCCUGGACAAAGACUGACGCUCAGAUGCGAAAGCGUGGGGAGCCAAACAGGAUUAGAUACCCUGGUAG